rnacentral:lncRNA from 1 species
AGGAUCUUGUGUUUGUGGCCUCCGCAGCCAGCUUAGGCUGCUCGGUGUCGUGUCGCAGUUAUGUACUGCCAUUUAUUAUGACUCUUAGAAUAUAGUUAUUUCUUACUCUUCCGCUGCCUCCUUUGCUUUUAAAGCCUGUUCUGCCAAGUCUCGCUGGAGAAGGAAACCCCUGAAACUGGUCCUGGUGGUCUCAGACCGCCGCGCGAGCGAAGAGUGGGGAGGACAAAGGUUGGGGAGUUGAGAAGGAUGGAGAUGGGUGCAUCUGGAAGGGAGUCCGUCCUGAGGAGUCCCCCAUCAGCUGUCAGCCAGCCAGCAGCAAAGCAAAUUAAGACUACACAGCUCCGAAGAAGCCAGUUCCCAACCAAGCCAGUGGAGAAAAGUCAGCCCGGUCCCCAGGAGUGCUUGAGGCUCUGUCACUCUUGGACGUCAAAAAGGGUCAUUUGAUGACUGGACGCUUACCUCACCGGUGUGAGGUAAGCUUCAAACGCCGUAUCAUGUUGCUUUAAAACCUGCGGGUAACAGCAUAAGCUGAGUUUUCUAUCUUAGAACUCUUAACCCCAAGAACACUCUUCACAGGCCCUGAUAGGUGGACCCACAAAAAAACCACUCAGGCUAUAUUUGACUCGGAUUUGAAACGCUGCCGAAACGGUAUUAAGUGUCCUCCUCAACUGGAAAAGACAAAUAACAAAUGAUGCCUGAAUGAGAAAAAGACUAGACGUGCACACAGUAAUGUGUGAGCAGGGAAACUUCAGCGAAGGUUUUUAUCAUGCUUUACCCCUUUUACAUGCUUUACCCCAUGUGCAAACAUUUUUCAUGGGUUUUUUUCUAUUUUUUAUUUAUUUUUAUUCUAUUUUUUUAUUUAUACACAAAAAAGUUUCAAUGAUUUUUUAAAGAGUAAUAGUUUUAAUAUGUUACAUUUAAACUUUGACGAUGCAAACAGGUUGUCAAGAGAAGCAACUGAGCAUUGUUUGGUUGUUACAGUUCUGUACACUUGCAAGGAUGAGGGGAAGGGAACUGAAGUUUAGCGUGUCACUGUGGAUCAGGCACUUUCCAAAUGUAGAAGAAAAUGAACAGAAACAUUUCACCUGUUUUGAUGUGGAAAUUUAACCGUUUUGUUUUUCAACCUUUGCUGUUGCAAAGUAUUAAAGUCCUGUGCAGUUUUGCAAAUAUAUCUCACCGCAGAAAGAUCUCCUUUCCUAAGAAGACUGGGAAGAACGGCUUUCCACUUGCCAGUAAUGUGUCCUCUGGUUUCAAUUGAGCCAUCAGUGUCUGUACUCCAGCCUGGGCUACCAAGCGAUACCCCACCUCUGAAAAAAGGGUAGCAAGGGGACAGAGAAGAGCUGUCUGGAUACACGAGAUUCCAAAAACCUAAUCCUGAGAUAAAAUUCCCUAGGGAAUUGCUCUACCGAGAGUAGAGAUUUGACCUGGAAAGAGAAGGGAGAGAAGUAUUUAAUCAUUAACUCUUUUAAUCCUCCCAACAACCUUUUUAGUAUCAUUUUUCAAAUGAGGAAACUGAAAUGUAGAAAGAUUAUGUACACUGUUGAAGGUAACACUAAGCCACUGCCUCCUUCAUAUCAAGAAUAGUUGUUCAUCGAGCAAAUAAAGUGAGGGAAAGACAUUACAAGCAGAGAAAUCAACAUACACACUAUUGUGGCUGGACUUCAGGCUACAGGGUGGUUCCAAAUAUUUAUUGACAAGGCCCUGUGUUACGUGCUGAGGAUACAGAGAUAAAUAAACCAGCUGUCCUAAAGCCGCUGACACUAGUGAGAGAAACCUUAAAAAAAAUACAAUGCAGACUAAAUAAGUGCUGUGAUAGAGGCUAAUGUUCACGGUAUUGGAAAAUGAUAAGAAAACAGCAGCCGGAGAGAAUGUGAGAAAGCCAGUGAAGGUGCUGCUUUAGCAGAGUCCAAAUGUCAAGAGUUAUCCCCUACUAACCCUGAAAUUGUUCUGGGAUAGGGUCUAAAGAAUGAAAUCCAAAGAACAACAGAGAAGAACACCAGAGAAUACUUGGAGAGAGGAAACAAAUUGCUCUAACCAAUGGAGUUUUAAAUGGUCUAGUUUAAAAUAGGUUGAAUUUACCUAGGUGUUAUGAGAACUUAAGAACUUACAUAAGUGGCAUUCAUUGGUAUGGUCAAAGAGGUUAGGUAAGGCUUCUUUGAGGAAGUCACACCAGAAUGGAGAUCCAAAAGAUGAGAAACUGAAAAAGGGAGAGUGGGAAACAGAGGGAAUAUCAUGUGUAAAGCCUUUUUGUCAGAAGGGAACACUGCAAGCCUGAGGGACUGAAAGGAGGCUAUUGUGGCUAGAGCCUAGGUUGCAGGGAGAAAGUGCACCAGUUUGAAGCUGGAGACCAGAUUAAGCAGAGUCUUAUUGGCCAUAUUAAGAACUGUAAUCUUAAGAGAAAAAGGGAGGGGGAGGGCAUUUGACAUGAUUGGAUCUGUGUUUUGAAAAGAUCAUUCCAGCUGCAGUGUGGGAACACAAGCAGAGCCAGCACUGGACUAAUUAAAUCUAUGAGUGGUGUUAGUGUUGGUAGGCAUGCAAGUGGCUUGGGGUAGGAACAAGGAGAUGGACAGAAGUGGGGGAAAUGGAACAAUAGGAAGUAAAGUGGAAGGCCUUCUGCCCUGUCCACUGACAUGGCACUCAGCCCACUUAGAUAGUCUCUUUUUCCACCAUUCUUAUCAAGGCCCAUUGUUCCCUCCUGGCCCCCAAAUCUUUUUCAAUGUUAUUUCCAGCACCCUGUCUUUUUACUCCUGGUUCAGGUGUUUUUCAGCCAAUCUCUGUGGCCAGAGCUGGGAGAGAAAUUGGGUCAAAUGCUAUGUUUCAGUCUUGACAAGGCUUUUUUGUUCUUGAGAACCGACUUUGGAAGUGUUUUUAAAGACUGAGCUGUGUCAGGGAGGAAAAACUUUUCCUCUGCGCUCUCUUGUUUCCUCUUUGGGGGCCUGCAAAUUAAAACAACAAAGAUAGCAAGAGAAAAAAGACAUUUAAUUACAUAUGUACACACACACAGAGAGAGGGAGAAAGAAAGAGAAAUUCACAAAUAACUGACCCUAGGUGGUUAGAAUUUAGAGCUUAUAUACCAUCUUAAUAGGGGACAAAGAAGGGCAGAGAGGCCCUUCUAGGAGAGUAAAUGACUUCUUCAAAGGAAGUGAGGGAGAGACAAAGCAUUUAGAGAAAACAAAACACUUUUUGGAAAGAUAAAUGGACUUUUAGGAGAAUAGAUGGAAGAUACGAUAGUUUUGUAGCAAUGUCUGGGUGUGGUGCAGAUGUCUCCUCAGAGAAGAAAAUAUUAGAAUUGCUCCCCAGGAGGGGAUUUAUUACAAUUGAGGUCUUUUGGGAGGCUUUACUUUUAGGCACAUAAGGGAUUUCAGGAACUCAAGUCCUUCAGCUCAAAAUAACUUUUAUGCCAUGGUAGCUUAUUCUGAACCCCUUCAAUUAUUUGUUCUUGUAGUCUUGCUGUAGCAAUCCCAAGUCUCUUUGAGACACUGUAGAUGCUUUGGAAUAGAGGAAGAAUCAGAACAUAUGAAGAAAAGAAAUGAUUAGAAUGAUUUGUUGGUGAUGGCAAGCAUACAGAAAAGUUUCUAAAACUGAAGUAUACUAUUGAGCACGAUAACACACUCAUGUAACCCCAUAUGGGCCAAAGUAGAACAUUCAACACUCCAAAAGGCCCCAAUGUGCUCCUUCCCUUAUAACCUUCAAGUGCCUAGAGAUGGCCACAUCAUGAUUAUUACCAUAUUUACUUUCUUGUUUUUCUUUCUGGUUUUACUGCCUAAUUACUCAUCCUUAAACAAUAUUAUUUUUGAGCUCUAUGUAAAUGGAAUCACAGAGUUUUUCAUUUACAUGUCUUGAACUUUUUUGAUCAAUCUGUCUUUAAGAUUUACCCAUGUUGAUAUGGCUGUAGUUUAUUCAUUUUCAUUGCUGUAGGUUACUAUAUUGCAUUGGUGUAUCAUAAUUUAUUCUACUGCUGAUGGACAUAUAGGCUAUUUCUAGCUUUAGGCUAUUAUAAGCAAUGCUGCUGUGAAAGUUUGUGUAAACACACACACAUAUGUAUGUUCUCUUUAAGUACAUAUGUGUGUGUGUGUGUGAAUGUAUAUAUAUAUAUAUAUAUAUGUUCUAGAGCAUAUAAACACAGAUUUCUUUGGAGUCUUUACCUUGGUAUGUAAUUCCUGGUUUGUAGAGCAUGUAUAUAUUAAUAUAUUCAGUUUUACAAGAUCGUGCCAAAAUUUUCCAAAAUGAUUGUACCAAUUUAUAUAACCAACAACAAUAUACAAAAGUUUCUGUUGCACUACAUCCUCACCAACACUUGAUAUUGUCAGACAUUUUAAGUUUUAUUACUGUAAUGAAUGUGUAAUGCUGUUUUAUUGUGGCUCUAUUUUGCAUUUCCCUGAUUUUUAAUGAAGAAUAGCCCCUUUUUAUAUGAGUGUUGUCUAAUUGUUUAGGUCUUUCCCCAUUUUUCUGUUGGGUUGUUUGUAUUUUUCUUACUUUUUGUAUUAAUCUGUUAUAUAAUGUUGAAACAAGUUUUAUUGAUUAUAUGUGCUACAAAUGUUUUUCCCACUUUGUGGCUUGUACUUUCACUGUCUUAAUGUCUUUUGAUGAAACCAAGUUGUCAGUGGAGUAGAAUUCAUCACUCUUCCCUUAUGAUUAAUGAUAUCUGUAUCCUAUUUAAGAAAUAUUUUCCAACCCUAAGAUCAUUAAGACUUUUAUAUUGUCUUCUAAAAUUUUAUUGCUUUGCUUUUUAAAUUUUGGUCUAGGCAGACCUGCAAUUAAUGUUCUUACAUAUGGAGAAAGGGAGGCAUAUAUAGAUCCCCAACCCCUUCCAUGUGGAAAAUUAGACUAGCACCAUUUGUUGAAAGAUGGUCCUCUCUGCCCUACCCUGCAGUGCCAUCUUGAUCAUGAACCAAGUAGUCAUAUAAGUAUGGAGUUGUUUCUGACCUUGGUAUUCUUUCCAUUAGUCUAUUAUCUUUUUUUGUAUGUUGCUGGAUUCAAUAUACUCACAUUUUGUUUAAGAUUUCAGGGGAUCUCACAAAUAAGACUGACCUGUAAUUUUCCUUUUGGUAAUGUCUUUCUCUGAAUUUGGUAUCAAAAUAUGCUAGCUACCUUCAUUAAAUGAGUUGGGGAAUACACUUUCUUUUUCCUAUUCAGUUGUCUUUUUUACCCAUUUAUUCUUCUUGUUUUUGGAAUCAAGUUGUCAAGAACCCCCAAAACUCUAUGUGGAUUUUUAUUAAAAUUUCUGUUUGUAUAUUAAUUUCAGGGAAAACAAUAUUCUUCUAUAUGAGCCUUUCCUUUCAGUAAUCUGCAUUUAUUCAAGUGUCCUCAUAUAUGUUUUCCAAAAAUUUUAUCAUUUUCAUUAUAUAGGUCAUGUAUCUUAUAGGAGGCAGAAUUCUAAAGUCCCUCUAAGUUUUCCACCCCUAGUCAGUAAAACACUAAUCUAGGCACUGCUAAGAAUGUACAGAUGUAAUUAAAUUUAUAGAUCUUAAAGUAGGGAAAUUAUUGUAGAUAUCUGGUUGGCCCAGUCUAACCAAUUGAGCCCUCAUAAAAAGAGAAAUUUCUUCAGCUGGAGUCAGUCAGAUGUGGCAAAAAAGAAAAGCUGAGAAAAGAUGAGGCAGAAAGAUCAGAGACAUUCAAAUCAUAAAAAGGCUUGAUGCCACCACGUGGUGGCUCACACCUGUAAUCUCAGCACUUUGGGAGGCUGAGGCGGGC